CACGGUAGGGCGCAAGCGUUGUCCGGAAUUAUUGGGCGUAAAGAGCUCGUAGGCGGACUGUUGCGUCCGCUGUGAAAAGCUGGGGCUUAACCCUGGCCUUGCAGUGGAUACGGGCAGACUAGAGGUAGGUAGGGGAGAAUGGAAUUCCCGGUGUAGCGGUGAAAUGCGCAGAUAUCGGGAGGAACACCGGUGGCGAAGGCGGUUCUCUGGGCCUUACCUGACGCUGAGGAGCGAAAGCGUGGGGAGCGAACAGG
rnacentral:rRNA from 1 species